rnacentral:rRNA from 1 species
UACAGAGGGUGCAAGCGUUGUUCGGAAUUAUUGGGCGUAAAGCGCGCGUAGGCGGUCUCCUAAGUCGGACGUGAAAGCCCUCGGCUCAACCGAGGAAGAGCAUCCGAAACUGAGAGACUUGAGUACUGAAGAGGGUCGCGGAAUUCCCAGUGUAGAGGUGAAAUUCGUAGAUAUCGGGAGGAACACCGGUGGCGAAGGCGGCCCCCUGGUUGGGUACUGACGCUGAGACGCGAAAGCGUGGGGAGCAAACAGG